AGAAAACAAACUUUUGUAAAAGGUGUCUUCUUACCAUGACAGUUUCCAUUAAUCAUAAUUAAUUGUAAAUAGUAAAAGUAUUGUUCUUUAAAAUAGCUUGUGAGCACUACCACAUUUAAAUUUGAUGUAAUAUUUGUUCUGUUUAACUCAUGGUGUUAUUUAAUAUGGUUAAGUUCAAAAUGCCUAAAUUUUCUUUAACACUAAGGCAACAUG